rnacentral:rRNA from 1 species
AGAGUUUGAUCCUGGCUCAGGAUGAACGCUAGCGGCAGGCUUAAUACAUGCAAGUCGUGGGGCAGCGGGGGUAGCAAUACCCGCCGGCGACCGGCAAACGGGUGCGGAACACGUACGCAACCUUCCUUUAACUGGAGAAUAGCCCCUCGAAAGAGGGAUUAAUACUCCGUAACAUCCCGACAUGGCAUCAUGAUGGGAUUAUAGCUCCGGCGGUUAAAGAUGGGCGUGCGCCUGAUUAGAUAGUUGGCGGGGUAACGGCCCACCAAGUCUGCGAUCAGUAACUGGUGUGAGAGCACGACCAGUCACACGGGCACUGAGACACGGGCCCGACUCCUACGGGAGGCAGCAGUAAGGAAUAUUGGUCAAUGGACGCAAGUCUGAACCAGCCAUGCCGCGUGGAGGAUUAAGGCCCUCUGGGUUGUAAACUCCUUUUAUCUGGGAAGAAAUCCAUGAAUUCUUUCAUGGUUGACGGUACCAGAGGAAUAAGCACCGGCUAACUCCGUGCCAGCAGCCGCGGUAAUACGGAGGGUGCAAGCGUUAUCCGGAUUCACUGGGUUUAAAGGGUGCGUAGGCGGGCAGGUAAGUCCGUGGUGAAAUCUCUGAGCUUAACUCAGAAACUGCCAUGGAUACUAUUUGUCUUGAAUAUUGUGGAGGUAAGCGGAAUAUGUCAUGUAGCGGUGAAAUGCUUAAAUAUGACAUAGAACACCAAUUGCGAAGGCAGCUUACUACGCAGUUAUUGACGCUGAGGCACGAAAGCGUGGGGAUCAAACAGGAUUAGAUACCCUGGUAGUCCACGCCCUAAACGAUGAUUACUCGACAUCAGCGAUACACUGUUGGUGUCUGAGCGAAAGCAUUAAGUAAUCCACCUGGGAAGUACGAUCGCAAGAUUGAAACUCAAAGGAAUUGACGG